AUCAUGGCUCAGGAUGAACGCUGGCGGCGUGCAUAACACAUUCAAGUCGAAACGGGAAUCUGUGGAAAGAGGCUUCGGCCAAUGGAAGCAGAGGACAGUGGCGAACGGGUGAGUAACGCGUGAAGGAACCUGCCUUUCAGGAGGGGGACAACAGUUGGAAACGACUGCUAAUACCGCAUAAUGUAUCGUGACCGCAUGAUCGUGAUACCAAAGAUUUAUCGCUGAAAGAGUGGCCUCGCGUCUGAUUAGAUAGUUGGUGAGGUAACGGCCCACCAAGGCGACGAUCAGUAGCCGGCCUGAGAGGGUGAACGGCCACAGUUGGGACUGAGACACCGGACCCAAACCUCCCGUACGGGGAGGCAGCAGGUGGGGAAUAUUGGACAAGUGGGGGAAACCCUGAUCCAGCGACGCCGCGUGAGUGAAGAAGUAUUUCGGUAUGUAAAGCUCUAUCAGCAGGGAAGAAAAUGACGGUACCUGACUAAGAAGCCCCGGCUAACUACGUG
rnacentral:rRNA from 1 species